rnacentral:piRNA from 1 species
CCCAAAGUUAGGGGUAGCCCAAACCUAGGAAU